UACGUAGGGUGCAAGCGUUGUCCGGAAUUAUUGGGCGUAAAGAGCUCGUAGGCGGUCUGUCACGUUCGGCUGUGAAAACCCGAGGCUCAACCUCGGGCCUGCAGUCGAUACGGGCAAACUAGAGUACUGCAGGGGAGACUGGAAUUCCUGGUGAUAGCGGUGAAAUGACGCAGAUAUCAGGAGGAACACCGAUGGCGAAGGCAGGUCUCUGGGCCACUACUGACGCUGAGAAGCGAAAAGCAUGGGGAGCGAACAGG
rnacentral:rRNA from 1 species